rnacentral:lncRNA from 1 species
AAGAUUCAACUAAUUAAUCCUUCCAAUUUUGUUGGGAGAAAGUGCUGUAAUACCUUCUUUUUUGCAUGCCCUUACUGUUUUAGGGACUUAAAAUUGGGGCCUUAUGUAGAUCAUUACUAUAGAGACUACCCAACGCUUGUCAGAACUACUGGACAAGUGUGCACAAUUGAUCCAGGAUUUACGCAUCAUCCAUCAUUUUUUACGUCUGAGCCACCAAGUAUUUAUCAGUGGGUGAGUUCUUGUCUGAAGGGUGAAGGAAUGCCGCCUUAUCCUUACCUCCCUGGAAUCUGUGAAAGAAGCAGACUUGUAGUCUUGGUAUGUAUGUGGAGUGUUACUACCUAUCUCCUUUUUCUUUUAAAAUUUGGUUUUCAAAAGUACACCUGAUAUUAAGUUUUUCUUUCUGUGUAUAGUUCUGUGAAUUUCAGUACGUGUAUAGAUUCAUGUAAUUACUACAAUGAGGAUAUAGAACA